AUGGAACUAGGCAACCUGGCCCCUGGAGCUACAUAUGUGUAGGUUUUCAACUAUCCAGAAAAGGAAAUAUGCAUCUAGCUCCAAGACCUGGUGUACAUAUUACAGGAUAUAAGGAUAAGGUACUUAGCAAACCAUUCCCUCAGAUGAAGAAAUGUUCCAGUCUGAACUCAACUGCCAUAGACAAAUAAAUAAAAGCAGAGACCCAGGAGCUUGAAUUCAGUGAGAAAGGGGAAUCUGGUUACCUGGAAAGGCAGGCUUUAGUAACUGCACUGUGGAGAUUUUCAUGAGGGUACUGUGACAGCCGACGAGAAAUCCGCAGCAGCUGUCUGGUAGAGAGUGAUGCUGCCAAGGACUGUGCCUAUCAAAAGGCAAGGACAUCCUGAUGAGAGUCUUGUUUCAACCUGCUGAGAGUCCCUUUAGAUGAGUCUCAGAGCAGAAUUCAUUACUCCUGAUGGACAAGGCCACACUUAAAAUAAAUAUGUGCUGUUAAUGAAUUACAAAUAAAAAUAAAC